UACGUAGGGGGCAAGCGUUGUCCGGAAUCAUUGGGCGUAAAGAGCGUGUAGGCGGCUUGGUAAGUCCGCUGUGAAAGUCCAGGGCUCAACCCUGGAAAGCCGGCCGAUACUGUCGGACUAGAGUCCGGAAGAGGCGAGUGGAAUUCCCGGUGUAGCGGUGAAAUGCGCAGAUAUCGGGAGGAACACCAAUGGCGAAGGCAGCUCGCUGGGACGGUACUGACGCUGAGGCGCGAAAGCGUGGGGAGCAAACAGGG
rnacentral:rRNA from 1 species